GAUAAGUAAUGUGADUUGCAGAAUUCAGUGAAUCAUCGAAUCUUUGAACGCACCUUGCACCUCUUGGUAUUCCGAGAGGUACGCCUGUUUGAGUGUCGUGAAAUUCUC
rnacentral:rRNA from 1 species